rnacentral:rRNA from 1 species
UACGUAGGGCGCAAGCGUUAUCCGGAAUGAUUGGGCGUAAAGCGUCCGCAGGUGGCAAUGUAAGUCUGCUGUUAAAGAGUCUAGCUCAACUAGAUAAAAGCAGUGGAAACUACAUAGCUAGAGUACGUUCGGGGCAGAGGGAAUUCCUGGUGUAGCGGUGAAAUGCGUAGAGAUCAGGAAGAACACCAGUGGCGAAGGCGCUCUGCUAGGCCGUAACUGACACUGAGGGACGAAAGCUAGGGGAGCGAAUGGG